rnacentral:rRNA from 1 species
GAUGAACGCUGGCGGCGUGCCUAAUACAUGCAAGUCGAGCGAACAGACGAGGAGCUUGCUCCUCUGACGUUAGCGGCGGACGGGUGAGUAACACGUGGAUAACCUCCCUAUAAGACUGGGAUAACUUCGGGAAACCGGAGCUAAUACCGGAUAAUAUAUUGAACCGCAUGGUUCAAUAGUGAAAGACGGUUUUGCUGUCACUUAUAGAUGGAUCCGCGCCGCAUUAGCUAGUUGGUAAGGUAACGGCUUACCAAGGCAACGAUGCGUAGCCGACCUGAGAGAGGGAUCGGCCACACUGGAACUGAGACACCGUCCAGACGCCUACGGGAGGCAGCAGUAGGGAAUCUUCCGCAAUGGGCGAAAGCUUGACGGAGCAACGCCGCGUGAGUGAUGAAGGUCUUCGGAUCGUAAAACUCUGUUAUGAGGGAAGAACAAAUGUGUAAGUAACUAUGCACGUCUUGACGGUACCUAAUCAGAAAGCCACGGCUAACUACGUG